AUUGAACGCUGGCGGCGUGCCUAAUACAUGCAAGUCGAGCGAAGCGGCGGAUGGGUGAGUAACGCGUGGGUAACCUGUCCUUAAGUCUGGGAUACCAUAUGGACACAGAUGCUAAUACCGGAUACAGAUGGAUGGUCCUGCGAUGCCUUAGCUAGUUGGUAAGGUAACGGCUUACCAAGGCGAUGAUGCAUAGCCGGGUGGAGAGACUGAUCGGCCACAUUGGGACUGAGACACGGCCCAAACUCCUACGGGAGGCAGCAGUAGGGAAUCUUCCACAAUGGACGAAAGUCUGAUGGAGCAACGCCGCGUGAGUGAAGAAGGUUUUCGGAUCGUAAAGCUCUGUUGUUGGUGAAGCGGUAAUCAACCAGAAAGUCACGGCUAACUACGUGCCAGCAGCCGCGGUAAUAC
rnacentral:rRNA from 1 species